CUCGUUUCUUGUGUGUGUGAGCGAGUGGUUGCUGUUUACGAUGUGUUCAUAUAUCGCUUUGUAGUGCUGUAAUGUGCAAAUUAGCGGACUUUAUAGCGGCUCUCUAUUUUCCGUCGUUGUCUUUCGAGCAGCGCCUGUUGUUCCGGUAAAAAUCGAGUUGAAUGAAUCGCCACAGCCCCAACGUAUAUCGCGCAGUGUUGACCAAGACCAAGUCAAGCAGGAAUUCUGGCAUGGUAUGUGGCUGCACGAAAGAUUCCGAAAAAGAAAAACAACAACAUGGCUAAUAGGAUGUUGCUGCCCAGGGAGUCCUGGCGAAGAGGUUUACUCAUUCCAGAAGCAAGAAUUGUAUCAUUGUAAGGCGAAUGGAAAUAAACUGACAUCGACUGA